AUCAAAGGUCCCUAGCCUGAGGUUCCAGCAGUGGGCCACAAAGGGCUUGGCUGGAGCGCACACAGAGGCCACCCGAACCAGCCAGGCUGGCAAGGCUGCCAACCGAAUGCCCAGGACCCUGGCUCUUGGAGCUUCAACGCCAGAGGUUGGGCCUCCGUGGACUGCUGUGUGCCUGGGGUACAGCCACUUAAUCUCCCCAACCAGCAUUUCCUCAUCUGUCAAAGGAGGAUUAAAAAUAGGACGUCAUCCUGCAGCUGUGGGAGGGGAAAGACGGUGCAGGCUGGGCCUCUGGCCCCUCUUGGUCAUGGCUCACCUCUCUGCCUUGGUCUCUUAUUACUGGGCUGUUUAUUGGCUGUCUCCACCCUCCAGCGUGGCAGCUCCCUGAGAGCAGGGCUCUAGACCCCCAGGGCCUACAAUAGGUCUGGCACGUCGUGGGUGCCCAAUAAAUAUUUGCUGAGUGAAUAAACUUUCUCUUCUGCACAUCUGUCCCCCUCUCCAGCCUCCAUCUGCAAAACUUGGUGUAGCCAGACCCCUACCAGCUAAGGCAGCUUCCCCGAUCUCCCCCACUGGAGCCCUGCAGACCUUAAAGCCAUGGCCUUAAAGCUUGCAGUUGGCCUUAAACCCUUGCUCAGGCCAGCCCAGGGCCCAGGCUCAGCUCCCCCCUGCCCCCUCAUGCAGUCUUCACCCAUGACACCCCUGGAGGCACAGAGCAGUUAUGUUAUUGCUUUCUAGUUAAUACAUGAGUCUCUUAAAAGUUUAGUUCUCGGGCUUCCCUGGUGGCGCAGUAGUUAGGAGUCCACCUGCCAAUGCAGGGGACACAGGUUUGAGCCCUGGUCCGGGAAGACCCCACAUGCCGCAGCGCAGCUCAGCCCAUGCGCCACAACUACCGAGCCUGCGCUCUAGAGCCCACGCACCACAACUACUGAAGCCC